rfam:Camelus ferus unplaced genomic scaffold scaffold466, whole genome shotgun sequence.
GAGGGUAUAGCUCAGUCGUAGAAUGCAUGGUUAGCAUGCACGGGGUCCUGGGUUCAAUCCCCAGUACCUCCA